UGUUACUGAUUCACAUGGAGGAAAGGAACGGAAACAAACAAACAGAAACCUGUCUGUUCUUAUCCAAGAGGGGAACAUUCCCAGGGCGAAGGGGAAGAGUCCACUUGGUUCCUAAAAUUACCGAAAGCCUCAUCACGGAAUUCAGUGCGGUUGGUUGAUGCCAAGGCAAAAAGGCAUUCUUUUACUGGUUAGAGAUGAUCAAUUGCUAUUUAUGGUUUUACGGUGGCUUUCAAAUGGCUCUGUAGCUAUUCUGUGAAGAAACAGGGAAGAAUGAUGAAAUCCUUUAUGUGCAAGUGUUUGUGCUAUUAUAUCAGAGAAAAUAAAAGGAAAGGAACGAGAGUGAGGCUAUGUUGCUUCAAGCCUUAACUCCAGCUGAGCUAGCUGUCCCAGCCACUCUGGCCAUGAGGCCAAUAUAUCCACCCCUUCCACCACCUCCUGCUCCCAUCCAGCCCCAGUUCCUGACACCGGGGCUCAGAAUUUCCCCUCCUUAUAGGGAUCAGUUAGAAAAUCCUGUGUUAGUUCCUGGGGCACGAGGACCUGGUCUGAUAAUGCCAUCUAAGACACGACAGGGCACCUAAUUUGGCCCAGGAGCCACUCCUGGGGCAGGGCAGUUUUCAUCACGAUGCGUGUAGGGGCUAAAUGCGAACAACCAGCCAGCUGUGUUUCUCAGAGUGUUUAACUGGAAAGAUCACAGUCCUCCUUAUAGAGAGGAUCCUCUACACCUGAAGCCCACUUGGCAGCACCCACAGCUGAACCAAAUCAAGACCCCAUGGAGGGAGGAAUGCCCUUAUUAGAACAGUACUUACUUGUGAAUCUUGGCAGGGCUUUGAAAGGGGAACCAAAGCAAAAGAGUUUGAAUAAAAUUUAAGAAAUUCAGCAAAUACUUCAAUUAAAGAAAAAAUCCCUCUGAAUUUUGUAAAGGAUUUAUCAGGCCUAUAGAUGUUAUACUAACACAGAUUCUAAGGUCCCUGAAACUAUUAGAAUGGUAAGUUAGACCUUUUUUGGUGGGGGAGGGGUGCCUCACAUAUCAGGAGAAAGUUGCAAAAAUUAGUUGGUGCCUUUGGAUUGAAUCCUUAUCAGUUGGUAGGUGGUUGGUUUUAAAGUGUUCAACGACAGCGAAUGAUGAAAGAAAAUAGAAAAUGAAACAGGACUUCUCCGGCAGUGGCACUGGAUUCCCGGAAGGCGAUUGCUGAAGGGAGGUAAGCCACAAUGGGGAAGGAACAAUGCGCCUAUCGUAAGCAGGAAGGGCAUGGGAAAGCAGGUUACCCUGGGCUAAAACAUAAGAAGGAAAAUAAUAAAAGAAAGAUGGGAGCCUCUCGUGUGGUAGAGAGAGAGGAACACUCUGAAUGAAGAUCCCCAGAGGCUCCCGUGGACUUGAGGUGCCCAAUUCCAAUUUCCCCACAGAAGCACCUGAUAAAAUUGACAGUAGGGAAUGAGCUGAUUAACUUUCUGACAGACUUCACCCUGGAACCUAGUUUCUUAGAUAUGUCAGAGUCUCCAGUCCUGCUUUUGGGCCAAGAUCUCCUUUGUAAAUUAAAUGCUCAAGUAACUUUUUCACCAGAACAGCUUGACGUCAGAGUCCCAACAGAACAUGCUUUAAGCCUCCAGACGAUGCUCAUGGAAACUCCAGAAAAGGAGACGAGCUCUUCCCCCUCGAAGGUCUAUGAAAAGCUGAGAGGAGAGUCUUCAACUGGAAAUGGCAGAACAACAAAACCUAAGGAAUAGGUGCCCAUGAUAAGGAAAAGACCGGCCAUUGAGUCCAACACAUCUUUGCAUGAGGGAGUGAUAUGCCUGCUGGAGCUCCGAAGUCUGCCACCGUCUACGUCGUCACGUUGGACUGGCUGCUCCUGUCCCCCGUCCAGAGGAGGGCUGAUGUUUUGUCCUGGACCACA